rnacentral:tRNA from 1 species
GCCCUGAUGGUGUAGACCGGCCUAUCAUUCAGCCCUGUCAAGGCUGCGACCCGGGUUCGAAUCCCGGUCAGGGCG